AUUGAACGCUGGCGGCAGGCCUAACACAUGCAAGUCGAACGAGCGGCGGACGGGUGAGUAAUGCCUGGGAAACUUCCUUAUGGAGGGGGAUAACUACUGGAAACGGUAGCUAAUACCGCGUACCAUCCGAUGUGCCCAGGUGGGAUUAGCUAGUUGGGGGGGUAAUGGCUCACCUAGGCGACGAUCCCUAGCUGGUCUGAGAGGAUGACCAGCCACACUGGAACUGAGACACGGUCCAGACUCCUACGGGAGGCAGCAGUGGGGAAUAUUGCACAAUGGGCGCAAGCCUGAUGCAGCCAUGCCGCGUGUAUGAAGAAGGCCUUCGGGUUGUAAAGUGCUUUCAGUGGGGAGGCGUUACCCGCAGAAGAAGCACCGGCUAACUCCGUGCCAGCAGCCGCGGUAAUAC
rnacentral:rRNA from 1 species